GCCGGGGUGGCCGAGUGGACUAAGGCGCGGGCCUAGCCAGUCCGUGUCCCGCCAGGGACGCCCGGGUUCGAAUCCCGGCCCCGGCG
rnacentral:tRNA from 1 species